CGGCCCAGACUCCUACGGGAGGCAGCAGUGGGGAAUAUUGCACAAUGGGCGCAAGCCUGAUGCAGCGACGCCGCGUGCGGGAUGACGGCCUUCGGGUUGUAAACCGCUUUUGACUGGGAGCAAGCCCUUCGGGGUGAGUGUACCUUUCGAAUAAGCACCGGCUAACUACGUGCCAGCAGCCGCGGUAAUACGUAGGGUGCAAGCGUUAUCCGGAAUUAUUGGGCGUAAAGGGCUCGUAGGCGGUUCGUCGCGUCCGGUGUGAAAGUCCAUCGCUUAACGGUGGAUCCGCGCCGGGUACGGGCGGGCUUGAGUGCGGUAGGGGAGACUGGAAUUCCCGGUGUAACGGUGGAAUGUGUAGAUAUCGGGAAGAACACCAAUGGCGAAGGCAGGUCUCUGGGCCGUCACUGACGCUGAGGAGCGAAAGCGUGGGGAGCGAACAGGAUUAGAUACCCUGGUAGUCCACGCCGUAAACGAUGAGUGCUAGGUGUUGGAUCCUUUCCGGGAUUCAGUGCCGCAGCUAACGCAUUAAGCACUCCGCCUGGGGAGUACGACCGCAAGGUUGAAACUCAAAGGAAUUGACGGGGGCCCGCACAAGCAGUGGAGUAUGUGGUUUAAUUCGACGCAACGCGAAGAACCUUACCAAGUCUUGACAUCCCUUGACGAACAUAGAAAUAUGUUUUCUCUUCGGAGCAAGGAGACAGGUGGUGCAUGGUUGUCGUCAGCUCGUGUCGUGAGAUGUUGGGUUAAGUCCCGCAACGAGCGCAACCCUCGCCCUGUGUUGCCAGCACGUCGUGGUGGGAACUCACGGGGGACCGCCGGGGUCAACUCGGAGGAAGGUGGGGAUGACGUCAGAUCAUCAUGCCCCUUACGUCCAGGGCUUCACGCAUGCUACAAUGGCCGGUACAACGGGAUGCGACACCGCGAGGUGGAGCGGAUCCCUUAAAACCGGUCUCAGUUCGGAUUGGAGUCUGCAACCCGACUCCAUGAAGGCGGAGUCGCUAGUAAUCGCGGAUCAGCAACGCCGCGGUGAAUGCGUUCCCGGGCCUUGUACACACCGCCCGUCAAGUCAUGAAAGUGGGUAGCACCCGAAGCCGGUGGCCCAACCUUUUUGGGGGGAGCCGUCUAAGGUGAGACUCGUGAUUGGGACUAAGUCGUAACAAGGUAGCCGUACCGGAAGGUGCGGCUG
rnacentral:rRNA from 1 species